rnacentral:antisense_RNA from 1 species
AAGCCAAACUUGGGGAGACUAUAGUAAGAGAAUCUGUUUUCUCCAUCUUUGGUGGUUUCUGUUUUCGAAAUUCCUUUCCUCUAGGUUCGGAGAAAAAGUUCCUUUUGAAAGGAGGAUUCCAACUUUGCUUUGAAUAAGAGGGAGGAAAGAGCGUUUCCGUGCCAGGCCCAACUAGGUCUACAACAGGAUAGUUAAAGAGCUUAUUCAGAAGGCUUGAACCGAGCAGCCGUGCAGGCAAGCCGAACACAAAAGGAAGCAAAAUACCCCAAGGGUGGGGAGAGUCAGGCCACGGGUGUCCACGUGCGCCGGCCUCCCCCAGCAGCGGGUUCAUUCCCAGGCUCCUGCUCCUUCUCAGUUACUCGGCCCUCGGUCCCUUGGGCACAGUACCUGGAAUCGAGCUGCGUCUGCCGAGAAGCGUCUCGUGUCGAAUUUGGCCCCCGCGCCGAGCCGGCGAAAGAGAUCGUGGACGUCCAUCUUUACCCAGAAAGCGCCACUGUUCUACAGCGCCUGCGCAGACUACUUCCCGGGCCCCGGCAGCGUCGGAAGAGGGCGUGAGCGUAAUUGGCUCCUGUAGGCGGAGCCUGGCUGGGCCUCUCCUUCCCAACUCAGCCUUGGUUUACCACUGAG